rnacentral:tRNA from 1 species
GAUUUUAAAUUUUAAGUAAAUUUUAGGUUGCAAGCUUAAGAGGGCAUAGUUUGCUAAGAUCU